CAGCAGCCGCGGUAAUACGUAGGUGGCAAGCGUUGUCCGGAAUUAUUGGGCGUAAAGGGCUCGCAGGCGGUUUCUUAAGUCUGUUGUGAAAGCCCCCGGCUCAACCGGGGAGGGUCAUUGGAAACUGGGAAACUUGAGUGCAGAAGAGGAGAGUGGAAUUCCACGUGUAGCGGUGAAAUGCGUAGAGAUGUGGAGGAACACCAGUGGCGAAGGCGACUCUCUGGUCUGUAACUGACGCUGAGGAGCGAAAGCGUGGGGAGCGAACAGGAUUAGAGACCCCCGUAGUCCCUGUCUCUUAUAC
rnacentral:rRNA from 1 species